rnacentral:lncRNA from 1 species
ACCGCAGCAGCCGGGUGUGAGGGCAGGGCUGGGUAUUCGGAGACCUUCAGAAGCCUGGUCACGGAGGGCCUGCCCAGGGACCCCCCUGCCUCUCCCCCCAGGCCCCACGGCGGCAGAGACUCACAGGCAAAGAACUGCCAGGGCUGGUAGGUGCGGCCGAAGUCCAUGGACCGCUCCAGCACCCAGAGGUCCGGCCGGGCAGGUACGCCCGGGAACAGCUGGGUGCUGUUGGCCAGGUAGGCCUGGAAGCCUAGGGCCCCAAGGGGGAGAGUGGGGUCCCCCAGAGCUGCACAAGACCUACAGUCACCCCACUGGACUGAGCCGGACUGAGACUGCUGUGGGGUCCCCCAUGAAAAGACCACAGACCCCUCAUAGCUUCAGCCCUUGGGGGCACCAGCUGCCCAGACUCCAGACAGGGGCCCUGGACAGCUGUCCUCGAGGGCCUGGUGGCUGCACAGAUGGUCACAGGAAGGGAAGCCCGCGCUGGAGGACUCCCAUCUGUCUCUGACCUGGUCGCGGCUCCCAGGGCCACACCGGCCGCCCUCGCCAUGACCCGGAGCGAGCGCAGACCCCUGGCUUCGGGACCGCCCUUCCCCCUCCACGCCCCGCUCAGCUCAGCUGCCAGUGCUGACCUUUCCGCUGCUACAUGGUUCUGUGCAGAAAGAAAAAAAAAAGUCUUUUAAAGCAAAAGCCAAACAAAAAAAAAAAAAA